AGAGUUUGAUCCUGGCUCAGGAUGAACGCUAGCGGCAGGCUUAACACAUGCAAGUCGAGGGGUAUAAUAGCAAUAUUAGAGACCGGCGCACGGGUGCGUAACGCGUAUGCAAUCUACCUUUUGCAGAGGGAUAGCCCAGAGAAAUUUGGAUUAAUACCUCAUAGUAUUAUGAUGUGGCAUCACAUUAUAAUUAAAGUCACAACGGCAAAAGAUGAGCAUGCGUCCCAUUAGCUAGUUGGUAAGGUAACGGCUUACCAAGGCAACGAUGGGUAGGGGUCCUGAGAGGGAGAUCCCCCACACUGGUACUGAGACACGGACCAGACUCCUACGGGAGGCAGCAGUGAGGAAUAUUGGACAAUGGGCGCAAGCCUGAUCCAGCCCUGCCGCGUGCAGGAUGAAGCAUCUAUGGUGUGUAAACUGCUUUUGCACAGGAAGAAACACUCGGUCGUGACCGAGCUGACGGUACUGGAGAAUAAGAU
rnacentral:rRNA from 1 species